UGCCGAUCGGACGGAGGGCGUGGGUUGCGUGUUUGGUUAACGUGUUGUCCGAGUGGAGAUGGCUUCGUUGGGGCUGCGUAUGGGUUGUGCAUUUCGGGUUAUUACCCCGUUAUGUUUAAAGCGUGUUCAAAACGGCUUAACUCACCAUAACUUCCACUGUUCCGCGCGAAGGCACCUCUCCGUUUCAUCCCGUCGUCUAGCUGAGCUCAAGUACACGGAGGCAGCACGAGUGGGUGCGCAUGGAGGGCGGUUGUCGGCACCGUCGGCAUCACCGCCAAAGCCGCCGAGUCUAUGGGUGACUUGGUGUACGUGGAGAUAGCCGAGCCGGGACAGGAGGUGGAUCAGGGCGACGAGUGCGGAUCGGUGGAGAGCGUCAAGGCUGUGAGCGACAUCUACGCGCCCGUCUCGGGCAAGCUGGUGGAACGGAACGCCGAUCUGACCGAGACGCCCGACCUGGUCAACAAGGACCCGUACGGCGAGAAAGG